rnacentral:lncRNA from 12 species
CCUCACAUUUCAAAGAUUUCCAAUUACAUAGUGAUUUUAACAAAUAGAUUGACUUCUUCCUAAACAGUGCUCUUACUUUCUCCUGGUUGAUGUCUUUAAAAAACACAGGUAAAGGAACAUAUUGAAAACUAUCUGGCUAAAAGCAUGCUACGAGACACGCUAUCUUACUUGUUUUUUCCUAAUGGAAUAUAAAUGAUAGGCUAUGAGUCACUCAUCACCAUUCACCAUCCUAAGCUUAGCUAUCAAAUGCUGGCAUGGAAGAAUGAGAGGCAUGUGAUGCAGAAGAAGAGGAUAUGUCAGAGAAGCUUAGAAACAAAGGGUACCCCAAGAUCUCGUGAUGGUAUAAAAGAGAAAUGAUUCUGUGACAACUCUAACUUAAUUACUCAGCAUUUGAGUGAAAGAACAAUCUCUGAAGUAAGUGGGGAGGAAACAGUGGAAUGUGUGGGUGCGGGGGAGAGGGCUGUGCCAACAUUGCCAUCAACACAUUAAUUCACAUUACACUAGCUUUCAAGGACAAGCUCCAGAAUCCUAUUCAAAAGUCGAUGUCACCAAAUACGAGAGGAAAUGUGCUCUCAGCCUAGCUGCAUUAUCAGCUUUUUAUACCUUUAACCUGCCAGAUUUAAUCGAAGACUAAAUAUAAAGACUGUAUAAAGACUGGAUGCGAAGAAAGAUAGAGACAGAGAGGAGAGAAUGAGGGAGAGCGAGAGCAGGAGAGGGGUCUAUUUUCAGGUGGCUGUUUAAUUUCAAGAGAUAGGAAAAUGUAACUACCACAUGGUACAAAGACUGCAA